UCUCUGCCAAGAGACUGGGCCUGAAGGAGCAUGUCUCUGCGAGGCACUGAUGGACACAUUGGUGUAAGAGAAUGCUUUUACCUAUGUAAUGUCCUGGAACUCUGUGUUUUGAACUUUGCUCUGUAUCUUCUCUGAAAAGGAAAUUGAGGAUUCCAGGGAAGCUUGAAACUUCAUACUCUUGAAAGCAAUCACUC